rnacentral:rRNA from 1 species
GACGAACGCUGGCGGCGUGCUUAACACAUGCAAGUCGAACGGAAAGGCCCUGCUUGUGUGGGGUGCUCGAGUGGCGAACGGGUGAGUAACACGUGAGUAACCUGCCCUAGAUUUUGGGAUAACUUCAGGAAACUGGGGCUAAUAUCGUAUAGGAUCUCCUGCUGCAUGGUGGGGGUUGGAAAGUUUCGGCGGUGGGGGAUGGACGGGCGGCUUAUCAGCUUGUUGGUGGGGUAGUGGCUUACCCAGGCUGUGACGGGUAGCCGGCCUGGGAGGGUGACCGGCCACAUUGGGCCUGAGGUACGGCCCAGACUCCUACGGGAGGCAACAGUGGGGAGUCUUGCCCAAUGGGCGGAAGCCUGAUGCAGCAACGCCGCGUGCGGGAUGACGGCCUUCGGGUUGUAAACCGCUUUCGCCUGUGACGCAGCGUGAGUGACGGUAAUGGGUGAAGAAGCACCGGCUAACUACGUG